rnacentral:rRNA from 1 species
UACGUAGGUGGCAAGCGUUAUCCGGAAUUAUUGGGCGUAAAGAGCGCGCAGGUGGUUAAUUAAGUCUGAUGUGAAAGCCCACGGCUUAACCGUGGAGGGUCAUUGGAAACUGGUUGACUUGAGUGCAGAAGAGGGAAGUGGAAUUCCAUGUGUAGCGGUGAAAUGCGUAGAGAUAUGGAGGAACACCAGUGGCGAAGGCGGCUCUCUGGCCUGUAACUGACACUGAGGCUCGAAAGCGUGGGGAGCAAACAGG